GGGGAUAUAGUUCAGUCAGUAGAGUGCCUGCCUCACAUGCACAAGGCCCUGGGUUCAAUCCCCGGUAUAGCUU
rnacentral:tRNA from 1 species